rnacentral:rRNA from 1 species
UACGUAGGGUGCAGGCGUUAAUCGGAAUUACUGGGCGUAAAGCGUGCGCAGGCGGUUUGUUAAGCCAGCUGUGAAAUCCCCGGGCUCAACCUGGGCACUGCAGUUGGAACUGGCAAGCUAGAGUAGGGUAGAGGGGUGUGGAAUUCCAGGUGUAGCGGUGAAAUGCGUAGAUAUCUGGAGGAACAUCAGUGGCGAAGGCGACGCCCUGGACUCAUACUGACACUGAGGUGCGAAAGCGUGGGGAGCAAACAGG